UACAGAUCCGCCAUCUUGUAACCCGAUUCUCUCUGCCUUUCUCUUCCUCCUCCAGCAGGCUCGCACGGGCUGUCCUAGCAGGGGCUACGGCGGCCGACGAGUCCAACGCGCGACGCCUCCACUUCUGCACGCGCUUCCCGGCCCGGCUGUGCUCGGCGUUUUCGCGAGGCGGGGUACUGGACUGUGAUGGGAGGGCCUAAGUGCGAUUUCCUCCUCUCUCGGCCCCGCCUGCUGGCGCGGGAUCUCGGCCAAGUGGGCGGUUCUCGCGAGCUCCGCGUCCCUCUGGUGCCGCGAGAUUCCUGUCUAUGCGGGCUGCGGUAGCUGAGUCGUGGAUCGUGCUUCAUGAGGUGGCUGCUAGCGCUCGGCGUGGGGCGACCCGUGGGACCCAGCUCUGAGGAAAAAGCAAAGCAAACCUGGGAGUGGAUGAUUUAAUGCUUACUGAAAUGGCUCAAAGCAGGAAUCAGGGGGAUGAAGAGAAGACAAGAACAAGAAGGACAGAGAAGAACAAAUUGAUUGCUGACUGCUGAACUUGACUGCGCAAUACCUGAGGACAGGUUUGAUUUAUGUGCCACUAACAUCUGGGUGUAUGCGUGAACACACUGUGAGGAAGCUGGUGAAGAGAAGGAAAAUUAAACAUUUUAGAAGGGAUCUUCUUCACUGCUUGAUGUGAUUUCUUUAAAAACAAAUAUAAGGAGUUGAUAAAUGAUAUGUGCUGAAGCCCCCCAUUUACUUUUGGAGUGGCCUGCUAGAUUUAGGACCAGCAAUGGAGAGUAUGCAACUGAUGAGUAUGCAAUUGAUGAUGUACUUUCUGUUAAGAGCUUUAUGACUCGCUAAUGCAGAAAUGACAGCAGAAUUCCUAUUGUUUUAUGUCAAGAACAUUUGCCAGCAUUUGCAGUGAUAACAGCCCUGAGAGAUACUGCAAUGUGAGAUUCAGAUGUGGCAAGUUUCCUCAGUACAUGCUGGCAGAAGAUCAAGGACUCGGCUGGCUGCUGCAUUUUCUAAGAGAGGCCUCACCAAUGGGAAACCUCCUGAAAUUCAAUAAAACACAGUUGAAUGAAAUCCCCUUUCAAGAAAUUAUUCCAAAGGAGUUGAAUGCAUGCUUCAUCAUACACCUUGAGCUGGAUCUGCUAGUAAAUGAACUGACUAUAUUUUGAUUUAUGGCUUCUCUGACUCGGGUGUAGAAUAUUUAUCCUCUCCUUUACUCUUAGCAGGUUAUCUAAUGCUGAAGGAUAUAUACAUAGACUGAAUUUCUUUGAACUAUCUUCAAUUAUACCGUCAAUUUAAUAGUGUACUUAAAUGACAGUUUUAUCAUUUUGAAAGUUGUACUUUGAGAUCCUCUUAUUGUUUAUUCACACAUCUAUACAAAGUCAUAUAAGAAUUGUUAUACAUUGUUAAGCUUUUUUAUGCUUGUUUUUUCUACUUGUAUGCAUUUAUAUUUGUCUUAAAUAUCAUAAAGUUCAAUGUGAUAAGAAAAUCAUUAAAAUAUACAACUAUGUCAGAAAUUCAGAGCAGAAUAUCCGUCCCUGUGCCGAGGCACCAGAACACCUGGAUCUCCCAGGUGUUUAUGAAAGUCCUCUGUGGUCAGAAUAUCUAUACUGGUAAAAGCAAUGCUUUAGUCACAAAGGAAACUACUCAAGUCAGCCAUGAUUUUCCUGAGAAUCUAGGAAAAAGUACUCUAGGGAGAGGAGUUUUUGUUUUGUUUUUAAACUAUUUAUAAGUUAUCCUUGACAGUUAAGUUCACUAGGUCCUUUAGGCAGUCAGUUAACACAUUCCCUGGGCCCUGGACCCAAGCUCUUUGAGGAUGGGGUCUAUGAUUUACUUAUUUCUGUAUUCCUAGCAUCUAGCAGAGUGCAUGAAACAUGGUAUGUUUUCGACAAAUAUUUUUUCAAUAAAUGGAUGAAUGAAUCAUGGUUGUUUUCUGAGAACUGAUGCCUAGAGUUUAAGGAAAGUAGGAUCAGUGUUAUAUCUCAUGGAACUGAACAUUUACAAGGCAGAGUAACAGGCAAAAUGUAAGAAACACAGCACAACCAGCAAGAUGUCAGCAAAUGGAAAUGGAUAUAAAACAAUGGAGUUGAGAAGUGCAGAAGCUAGGAGGAAUAAGGCAGCAUCAAAGGUGGGAGGCUGAGGAAGGUUUGCCUGAAAAGGUGAGUUUUGAGCUGCAUUUUGAAGAAGGUAAGGUACACAGAUUGGCAGAAAUAGGAGGCUAUUUCUAGGCAGAAGACAAGUCACAAUAGAAAACAAUGAUAAGACAAAAGUGGUUUGCAUGAGAAGAAUGGCAGACAGCUGGAAUCAGCAUGGCUGGAGGGGCUGUGCAUGAGAAGCCUGGUGCCUGUGCAUGGUUGAACACACUCAUAAAAUGGUAGCUCAAGUCAUUAGCAAAAUUCAGGGCCUUAAAGGUGGGAUUAGAGUUUGGAUUGAACACCAUAGGGAGCAGCUCUGAACUAUGUAGACAUAGCCUAAUGUAAACAUUACUAAAGAACAAAAUAAUAGAAUGUGCUUCCUAAAAUAUCACAACACGUAAAUGAACUCAUAUUUCAUCAUUCUAAUGCGUUAAGAAUAGCUAAUGGCAAUAUUUGGUGAUUCCCUCAUUUUUCAAAAAUGUGCCCACACUCUCCCUCCUAGUGAUUUAUACUAUUGUAGGUCCCUCUCUUGCUGACUUUGGCACCAUCAUUGCUUUAAAUAAUCCAGUCUGAUCUUUGCUCACCUCUCACUUCUAGCUUCUUUAUCACACUGACCCCCAGUCUAUGGAACUGCAUAUUUGGUUUUCUCUCAAAGUUAAUGAAGGCAACUGUGUCCAAAUCUUUGUGCUGUCCAUUAAGUCCCUGCUUAGGCCCUCAUUCUCUAUGUUUUUGGCUCCUUCCCUUCAGUCUGACUCAUAUUUCCCAAACCCCUGACUCAUGCUGCUUUCUUUCUCUUAUGCAACAUUUUAAUCUCUGCAAUGUUCUUUCCAUAAUUUGAUAACUUACCACGACAUGGAGUCACUUCAGUGUAUUUUCAUGGGCAAAACUUUCCGUACCUUAAAUGCUGUGGAUUACCACUUAGACUUUUCUAAUUUGUGCUGCUUUAGGUUUAAGGAGUAAUCAGAACUACUUUGGAAUAAGCCACCGUGGACCAGUGAUGAGAAUGCACUGAGAUAGGAGGAAGGGGACUGAAACUAUUUUGAUUCUGUCACUGCCUAUGUGAUCUAGGGCCAUGGUAGCAAUUCUUUUUCUCUCUGUUUCUCCAUCUGUAAAAUAGACUGUCUAUCUUUAAUGAUAAUGCACAGAUAAAAGAAAUGUUCAGAAACAUCAAAAUAUAUCUUUUUGUUUCCAGAUCGUAAACCUUUAGAAUAAAAUAACCACAUCUUUACUAGUUCU